CAAAAGCUACAAAUCUCACAACUCACAAGCCAAAAGCGUUAUAUCUCGCUCUCGCUAUUGCUCCUCUCUCUCAGCAAACUCAGCUCCUCACAGGAUCUCUCUCUCUGUUGCUGAGAAAACCUUUCUAUUUCUCUAUUAUUUUCUCGACAACCAAACAGAUUGCUUGGCUUCUGUUGAUUUUGCUUUGUUUCAAAUUCACCAAGCUAGUACCAUUACAUCCAAAUCUUUUAUAUAUUCACAAUUUUCCCUAUCAAAAAUCUUUGAUUAGGAUGGCACAUUGUCUUAGAGCAUCUGACAAAGAUGAUGUUUUUGAUGCCAAUAGAACCUUGAGAAGGUGUGAAGUUGGUGUUGAUCGUGAUGAAGGCAUGUAGCAAAUUAUGCAACACCCCUUGAGAAGCAAAGGGCUUGGGCAAUUGUGACCUUUGAACAGAAAACUCCUGUGAUACUUGUUUCAUUGUGGGGCGGGAUUUGGG